AACGACCGAGGAGACGCUAUUUUCACAUGGAGAAUGUUUUCAGCUGUUGAAUUCACCUCAGAUCAGUGUUGCUGUAAUUC